CAGCGUUUAAAAUUUCGGCGGUAAACUGGCGAAAUUUCGGUGAAAAUUUCGUUUUCGGUAGUUACCGGUAUUUGGUUUACCGCUGUUUUUCGAGACUAUGCAUUUGCUACAUGGAUUAUGGAUGGACAAUACUUUCGAUUACAAUGGAUGCAAUAUGUUGUAUUAAACGGACUACAGACUUAAUUGUAAUAAUUUUAGUAGACUUUGCACUUGUGACUAAGUACGGGUGAACUUUAGACAUGAAUUAUGUGUUUCGUGUUUGUA